UACAGAGGUGGCAAGCGUUGUUCGGAAUUACUGGGCGUAAAGGGCGCGUAGGCGGCCUCCUAAGUCGGACGUGAAAGCCCCAGGCUUAACCUGGGAACUGCGUCUGAUACUGGGAGGCUUGGAUUCGGGAGAGGGAUGUGGAAUUCCAGGUGUAGCGGUGAAAUGCGUAGAUAUCUGGAGGAACACCGGUGGCGAAGGCGGCAUCCUGGACCGAGAUCGACGCUGAGGCGCGAAAGCUAGGGGAGCAAACGGG
rnacentral:rRNA from 1 species